AGCUUUGCGCAGUGGCAGUAUCGUAGCCAAUGAGGUUUAUCCGAGGCGCGAUUAUUGCUAAUAGAUAUUCCAGAAGUGACUGAUGCAUCCUAUUUGAUUGAGAGAAUUAUCAAAUUAUUCCCUUUAAAAGUUAAGGAUCUGAGUCUGAUUU
rnacentral:snRNA from 1 species